GACGAACGCUGGCGGCGUGCUUAACACAUGCAAGUCGAACGGUAAGGCCCUUCGGGGUCCACGAGUGGCGAACGGGUGAGUAACACGUGGGUGAUCUGCCCUGCACUUUGGGAUAAGCCUGGGAAACUGGGUCUAAUACCGAAUAUGACUACAGGCUGCAUGGUCUGUGGUGGAAAGCUUUUGCGGUGUGGGAUGGGCCCGCGGCCUAUCAGCUUGUUGGUGGGGUGAUGGCCUACCAAGGCGACGACGGGUAGCCGGCCUGAGAGGGUGACCGGCCACACUGGGACUGAGAUACGGCCCAGACUCCUACGGGAGGCAGCAGUGGGGAAUAUUGCACAAUGGGCGCAAGCCUGAUGCAGCGACGCCGCGUGAGGGACGACGGCCUUCGGGUUGUAAACCUCUUUCAGCACAGACGAAGCGCAAGUGACGGUAUGUGCAGAAGAAGGACCGGCCAACUACGUG
rnacentral:rRNA from 1 species